GAGGGUAUAGCUCAGUGGUAGAGUGAGUGCCUAGCAUGCACCAGUUUCUGGGUUCAAGCCCUAGUUCCUCCA
rnacentral:tRNA from 1 species